rnacentral:rRNA from 1 species
GGGGCAUCCCGGAGGCAGGAAAGGCUUCGGCCGGACAGGGAUGGGCAUGCGGCGCAUUAGGCAGUAGCGGGGGUAACGGCCCACCUAACCGACGAUGCGUAGGGGUUCUGAGAGGAAGGUCCCCCACACUGGUACUGAGACACGGACCAGACUCCUACGGGAGGCAGCAGUGAGGAAUAUUGGUCAAUGGUCGGGAGACUGAACCAGCCAAGCCGCGUGAGGGAGGAAGGUACAGAGUAUCGUAAACCUCUUUUGUCAGGGAACAAAGACUGGGACGCGUCCCCGGAUGAGUGUACCUGAAGAAAAAGCAUCGGCUAACUCCGUGCCAGCAGCCGCGGUAAUACGGAGGAUGCGAGCGUUAUCCGGAUUUAUUGGGUUUAAAGGGUGCGCAGGCGGUCUGUUAAGUCAGCGGUCAAAGCCCGGGGCUCAACCCCGGCCCGCCGUUGAAACUGGCAGUCUCGAGUUGGAGAGAAGUAUGCGGAAUGCGCGGUGUAGCGGUGAAAUGCAUAGAUAUCGCGCAGAACUCCGAUUGCGAAGGCAGCAUGCCGGCUCCACACUGACGCUGAGGCACGAAAGCGUGGGUAUCGAACAGGAUUAGAUACCCUGGUAGUCCACGCAGUAAACGAUGAAUGCUGGCUGUCCGGG